UACGAAGGGGGCUAGCGUUGCUCGGAAUGGCUGGGCGUAAAGGGCGCGUAGGCGGCUCAUACAGUCAGAUGUGAAAUUCCUGGGCUUAACCUGGGGGCUGCAUUUGAUACGUGUGGGCUUGAGUGGGGAAGAGGGUCGUGGAAUUCCCAGUGUAGAGGUGAAAUUCGUAGAUAUUGGGAAGAACACCGGUGGCGAAGGCGGCGACCUGGUCCUUGACUGACGCUGAGGCGCGAAAGCGUGGGGAGCAAACAGG
rnacentral:rRNA from 1 species